rnacentral:rRNA from 1 species
AGCGUACACGGUGGAUGCCCUGGCAGUCAGAGGCGAUGAAGGACGUGCUAAUCUGCGAAAAGCGACGGCGAGGUGAUAUGAACCUUUGACCCGUCGAUGUCCGAAUGGGGAAACCCAGUGCAAUCCGUUGCACUAUCGUUAACUGAAUACAUAGGUUAACGAGGCGAACCGGGGGAACUGAAACAUCUAAGUACCCCGAGGAAAAGAAAUCAACCGAGAUUCCCCCAGUAGCGGCGAGCGAACGGGGAGCAGCCCGGAGUCUGAAUCAGCUUGUGUGUUAGUGGAACGGUCUGGAAAGUCCGACGGUACAGGGUGAUAGUCCCGUACACGAAAACACACUUGUUGUGAACUCGAAGAGUAGGGCGGGACACGUGGUAUCCUGUCUGAAUAUGGGGGGACCAUCCUCCAAGGCUAAAUACUCCUGACUGACCGAUAGUGAACCAGUACCGUGAGGGAAAGGCGAAAAGAACCCCGGCGAGGGGAGUGAAAAAGAACCUGAAACCGUGUACGUACAAGCAGUGGGAGCCUCUUUAUGGGGUGACUGCGUACCUUUUGUAUAAUGGGUCAGCGACUUAUAUUCUGUAGCAAGGUUAACCGUAUAGGGGAGCCGAAGGGAAACCGAGUCUUAACUGGGCGUUAAGUUGCAGGGUAUAGACCCGAAACCCGGUGAUCUAGCCAUGGGCAGGUUGAAGGUUGGGUAACACUAACUGGAGGACCGAACCGACUAAUGUUGAAAAAUUAGCGGAUGACCUGUGGCUGGGGGUGAAAGGCCAAUCAAACCGGGAGAUAGCUGGUUCUCCCCGAAAGCUAUUUAGGUAGCGCCUCGUGAAUUCAUCUUCGGGGGUAGAGCACUGUUUCGGCUAGGGGGCCAUCCCGGCUUACCAACCCGAUGCAAACUACGAAUACCGAAGAAUGUUAUCACGGGAGACACACGGCGGGUGCUAACGUCCGUCGUGAAGAGGGAAACAACCCAGACCGCCAGCUAAGGUCCCAAAGUCAUGGUUAAGUGGGAAACGAUGUGGGAAGGCACAGACAGCCAGGAUGUUGGCUUAGAAGCAGCCAUCAUUUAAAGAAAGCGUAAUAGCUCACUGGUCGAGUCGGCCUGCGCGGAAGAUGUAACGGGGCUAAACCAUGCACCGAAGCUGCGGCAGCGACACUAUGUGUUGUUGGGUAGGGGAGCGUUCUGUAAGCCGUUGAAGGUGGCCUGUGAGGGUUGCUGGAGGUAUCAGAAGUGCGAAUGCUGACAUAAGUAACGAUAAAGCGGGUGAAAAGCCCGCUCGCCGGAAGACCAAGGGUUCCUGUCCAACGUUAAUCGGGGCAGGGUGAGUCGACCCCUAAGGCGAGGCCGAAAGGCGUAGUCGAUGGGAAACAGGUUAAUAUUCCUGUACUUGGUGUUACUGCGAAGGGGGGACGGAGAAGGCUAUGUCAGCCGGGCGACGGUUGUCCCGGUUUAAGCAUGUAGGCGGAGGUUCCAGGUAAAUCCGGUACCUUUUAACGCUGAGGUGUGAUGACGAGGCACUACGGUGCUGAAGUGAUAAAUGCCCUGCUUCCAGGAAAAGCCUCUAAGCAUCAGGUAACACGAAAUCGUACCCCAAACCGACACAGGUGGUCAGGUAGAGAAUACCAAGGCGCUUGAGAGAACUCGGGUGAAGGAACUAGGCAAAAUGGUGCCGUAACUUCGGGAGAAGGCACGCUGAUAUGUAGGUGAAGUCCCUGCGGACGGAGCUGAAAUCAGUCGAAGAUACCAGCUGGCUGCAACUGUUUAUUAAAAACACAGCACUGUGCAAACACGAAAGUGGACGUAUACGGUGUGACGCCUGCCCGGUGCCGGAAGGUUAAUUGAUGGGGUUAGCGGCAACGCGAAGCUCUUGAUCGAAGCCCCGGUAAACGGCGGCCGUAACUAUAACGGUCCUAAGGUAGCGAAAUUCCUUGUCGGGUAAGUUCCGACCUGCACGAAUGGCGUAAUGAUGGCCAGGCUGUCUCCACCCGAGACUCAGUGAAAUUGAACUCGCUGUGAAGAUGCAGUGUACCCGCGGCAAGACGGAAAGACCCCGUGAACCUUUACUAUAGCUUGACACUGAACACUGGUCCUUGAUGUGUAGGAUAGGUGGGAGGCUUUGAAGCGUGGACGCCAGUCUGCGUGGAGCCAACCUUGAAAUACCACCCUUUAAUGGCUGGUGUUCUAACGUAGACCCGUAAUCCGGGUUGCGGACAGUGUCUGGUGGGUAGUUUGACUGGGGCGGUCUCCUCCCAAAGAGUAACGGAGGAGCACGAAGGUUGGCUAAUCCUGGUCGGACAUCAGGAGGUUAGUGCAAUGGCAUAAGCCAGCUUGACUGCGAGCGUGACGGCGCGAGCAGGUGCGAAAGCAGGUCAUAGUGAUCCGGUGGUUCUGAAUGGAAGGGCCAUCGCUCAACGGAUAAAAGGUACUCCGGGGAUAACAGGCUGAUACCGCCCAAGAGUUCAUAUCGACGGCGGUGUUUGGCACCUCGAUGUCGGCUCAUCACAUCCUGGGGCUGAAGUAGGUCCCAAGGGUAUGGCUGUUCGCCAUUUAAAGUGGUACGCGAGCUGGGUUUAGAACGUCGUGAGACAGUUCGGUCCCUAUCUGCCGUGGGCGCUGGAGAAUUGAGGGGGGCUGCUCCUAGUACGAGAGGACCGGAGUGGACGCAUCACUGGUGUUCGGGUUGUCAUGCCAAUGGCACUGCCCGGUAGCUAAAUGCGGAAGAGAUAAGUGCUGAAAGCAUCUAAGCACGAAACUUGCCCCGAGAUGAGUUCU